UAUGUGUUUUAUGAAAUCCGUGGCUGGGAGAAAUCAUCAGAAGCCCUCACAUCAGCAGUAUUAAGCAAGCCUAAAAAUCCAAACCAGUGCCUUCGCUUCUUCUACUUCGUACCUUACACCGUUUCAAGCCGUGGUCUGCUCGUUCGAAUUAUUCGAUACCUGGAACCAGGAUCAAAGGCGCCGUCACAAUUAAACGCAACUGCAGAGCAAAGGACAGAAACACUUUGGAACCCGAAUGCAGCGUUGCUACCUCAGAGAUGGGCACCCGUUGAAGUCAGGUACACUGCUACGGAUAAGUACAAGCUCAACUUUUUCUGCGAUUCUACGGUGGCAUCGGGCAAGCAUUUCUACUGUGCAAUCGACGACAUAGAAGUUUACCCCUGCGGC